rnacentral:tRNA from 1 species
GGCCCCUUGGUCAAGCGGUUAAGACACCGCCCUUUCACGGNNCCCUUUCACGGCGGUAACACGGGUUCGAAUCCCGUAGGGGUCA